UUUAUUGGAGAGUUUGAUCCUGGCUCAGGAUGAACGCUGGCGGCGUGCCUAAUACAUGCAAGUCGAGCGAAUGGAUUGAGAGCUUGCUCUCAAGAAGUUAGCGGCGGACGGGUGAGGA
rnacentral:rRNA from 1 species